UAGCUGUGUGGUGGGUAGACGGGCAGGAGGAGGAAAGCCCUGGCUGUGAUGCCGCUGAAUGAUGGCUGCUUUUGGAAUACUCAGCUACGAACACCGGCCAUUAAAGCGACCACGGCUCGGGCCUCCGGACGUUUAUCCGCAAGAUCCAAAGCAGAAAGAGGAUGAGCUGACGGCGCUGAAUGUCAAACAAGGAUUCAACAACCAGCCAGCGGUAUCUGGUGAUGAACACGGCAGUGCCAAAAAUGUCAACUUCAACCCAUCCAAGAUCAGUUCCAACUUCAGCAGCAUUAUUGCAGAAAAGCUGCGCUACAACACCUUUCCAGACACGGGGAAGCGUAAGCCACAGGUCAACCAGAAGGAUAAUUUCUGGCUGGUCACGGCAAGGUCACAGAGCUCCGUCAAUAACUGGUUCACAGACUUAGCAGGGACUAAACCUCUCACACAGCUGGCCAAGAAGGUGCCAAUAUUCAGCAAGAAAGAGGAGGUUUUCGGGUACUUGGCAAAGUACUUGGUCCCUGUCAUGCGCUCAGCGUGGAUGAUCAAGAUGACCUGUGCUUAUCAUGCAGCCAUCACAGAAACGAAAGUCAAGAAGAGACAUGUGAUUGAUCCCUGUAUAGAAUGGACCCAGAUCAUAACAAAGUACCUGUGGGAGCAGCUUCAGAAGGUGGCAGAGUUCUACAGGCAGUUCCCGAGCCAAGGCUGCAGCUCGCCGCUCCCGGCCACUCCCGCCGACGUGGAAACGGCCACAAAGCAGUGGGAGUACAAUGAGAAGCUGGCCAUGUUUAUGUUUCAGGAUGGAAUGCUGGACAGACAUGAGUUCCUGACUUGGGUUCUAGAGUGUUUUGAGAAGGUCCGACCCGGCGAGGAUGAGCUGCUGAGACUCCUCCUGCCACUUUUACUGCAGUACUCGGGGGAAUUCGUACAGUCGGCCUACUUGUCACGCAGGCUGGCUUACUUCUGCACGCGGCGCCUCAACCUGUUGCUAAGCGACGGCAGCCUAGGCCCUGGCGCGGGUGGAGGGCACCCGGCGCAUGGCAUCUUGACACCGCAGGGUAACGCCCUGCCCCCGACCCCAACCUCCCAGCCAGCAGGAGGCAGCCAGCCCCAGACGCCGUUCACAGACUUCUACAUCUGCCCCCAGCAUCGCCCUCUGGUUUUUGGCCUCAGCUGCAUGCUGCAGAGCAUAGUUUUGUGUUGCCCCAGUGCUCUGGUGUGGCACUACUCUCUAACAGACAGCAGAAACAAAACUGGUUCCCCUCUGGAUCUGCUGCCCAUCGCCCCCUCCAGCUUACCAAUGCCCGGGGGAAACACUGCCUUCACACAGCAGGUCCGUGUGAAGCUGAGAGAGAUUGAGGAGCAAGUUAAGGAGCGAGGCCAGGCGGUGGAAUUCCGCUGGUCAUUUGACAAGUGUCAGGAGACCACAGCAGGCUUCACCAUUGGGAGGGUUUUGCACACACUGGAGGUUUUGGACAACCACAGCUUCGAGAAGUCGGACUUUAACAACUCGCUGGACUCCUUAUACAACCGAAUAUUUGGCUCGGGCCAGAGCAAGGAUGGCCAUGAGAUGUCGCCCGACGAUGACGCUGUGGUCACCCUGCUUUGUGAAUGGGCCGUGUGCUGCAAGCGGUCAGGCCGACACAGGGCCAUGGUGGUGGCUAAGCUGCUGGAGAAGCGACAGGCCGAAAUUGAAGCAGAGCGGUGUGGUGAGUCUGAAGUGGUGGAUGAGAAGGGCUCUGUGUCAUCCGGCUCCCUUUCUGCUGCCACACUUCCAGUAUUUCAGGAUGUUCUGCUGCAGUUCCUAGAUACUCAAGCCCCCACGCUGACGGAGCCUGGCAAUGAGAACGAGCGAGUGGAGUUCUCCAACCUGGUCCUGCUCUUUUGUGAGCUCAUCCGCCAUGACGUCUUCUCUCACAACAUCUACAUGUGCACGCUCAUCUCCCGCGGCGACCUGGCUUCCGACUCCCACUUGCCACGCCCCCGCUCCCCCAGCGACGAGCCCUCAGAUGAGUCAGAUCGCAAGGAGCAGGACAUGGGCAGCAGUGUCAAGAUGGAGGAUACCGGCUUGUCGGAGUCUAUGGAAAUUGAUCACAACUCUAGUGCUAACUUUGAUGAGAUGUUCUCUCCUCCGAUGCACUGCGAGUCCAAAGGCAGCCCCUCUCCGGAAAAGUCUGCUCCAGAGCAGGACAGCAAGAGCACCUGCAAGGACAAGUGCAUGGACCCUGCCUUCCCACAGCUGUAUGAGCAGCCCCGACACAUUCAAUAUGCCACACACUUCCCCAUUCCUCAGGAGGAGAACGCCAGUCAUGAGUGCAACCAGCGUCUGGUGGUGCUCUACGGCGUGGGCAAACUGAGGGAUGAAGCGCGACACACCAUCAAGAAGAUAACCAAAGAUAUCUUGAAGGUGCUCAACCGCAAAAGCACUGCAGAAACAGGAGGCGAGGAGGGACAAAAGAGAAAAAGGAGUAAGCCUGAGGCCUUCCCCACGGCAGAAGAUAUCUUCUCCAAAUUCCAGCACCUCUCCCACUUUGACCAGCACCAGGUCACCUCCCAGGUGUCCCGAAAUGUGCUGGAACAGAUCACCAGCUUUGCCUUAGGGAUGUCCUAUCACUUGCCUUUAGUGCAGCACAUUCAAUUCAUCUUUGACCUCAUGGAGUACUCGCUCAACGUUAGUGGCCUCAUCGACUUUGCUAUUCAGCUUCUGAACGAACUCAGCCUGGUGGAAGCCGAGCUGUUGCUCAAGUCGUCCAGCCUGGUGGGCAGCUACACCACGGGCCUUUGUUUGUGCAUCGUGGCUGUGCUGAGGAGGUACCACUCCUGCCUCAUUCUCAAUCCCGAGCAGACAGCGCAAGUUUUCGAUGGGCUGCGUAUCGUGGUCAAGUCAGGUGUGAACCCUGCAGACUGCUCCUCUGCUGAACGCUGCAUCUUAGCCUACCUGUACGACCUCUACACAUCCUGCAGUCACCUCAAGAACAAAUUUGGCGAGAUCUUUAGCGAGUUCUGCUCCAAAGUGAAAAACUCCAUCUACUGCAACAUCGACCCCUCCGACUCCAACAUGCUCUGGGACCCCGAGUUCAUGACGGAGGCCAUCGCUAACCCCUCAGCACACAACUUCAACCACUCCAUGGUGGGGAAAAUCCUCAACGACAGCCCUGCCAACCGCUACAGCUUUGUGUGUAACGUUCUCAUGGACGUGUGUGUGGACCACAGAGACCCUGAGAGGGUGAACGAUAUCGGGAUCCUGUGUGCUGAGCUGACCGCCUAUUGUCGCUCCCUAAGUGCAGAAUGGCUCGGCAUCCUCAAGGCGCUCUGCUGCUCCUCCAAUAAUGGCAACUGCGGCUUCAACGACUUGCUGUGUAACGUCGAUGUUAGCGACUUGUCCUUCCAUGAUUCCCUGGCAACAUUUGUAGCCAUUCUCAUAGCACGACAGUGUCUUCUCCUCGAGGACCUGGUACGUUGCGUGGCCAUUCCAUCCCUUCUCAAUGCAGCCUGCAGCGAGCAAGACUCCGAGCCUGGAGCGAGACUCACCUGCAGGAUUUUGUUGCACCUUUUCAAAACACCCCAGCGCAACCCUGUCCCUCAAGACGGCAUGAAGUCAGACAAAUCCUCGGUUGGUAUCCGAUCAUCGUGUGACCGCCAUCUCCUGGCAGCGUCUCAGAACAGCAUAGUUGUGGGAGCCGUUUUCGCUGUCCUCAAAGCUGUCUUCAUGUUGGGUAAGAAGUGUUUGCUUGUACUCUACUUGGGGAAUUUUGUAAAGGUGCUCAGGAACAACCCGACUGGUCUCAAUGGUGUUGUAGGUGAUGCUGAGCUGAGGGGCUCAGGGCUGUCCCACCCCGCUGGCCUCGACGACAUAUCCGAGGGGCGCAAUGUCUCCAUAGAAACAGCCAGCUUGGAUGUGUAUGCAAAGUAUGUCCUGAAGACCAUCUGCCAACAGGAGUGGGUGGGAGAGCGCUGCCUCAAGUCUCUGUCCGAGGACAGCAGUGCCCUUCAGGACCCGGUGUUGGUAAACAUUCAGGCCCAGAGGCUCCUACAGCUCAUUUGCUACCCUCACCGCCAGCUGGACAGCGAUGACGGAGACAACCCUCAGAGGCAGCGCAUCAAACGCAUCCUACAGAAUAUGGACCAGUGGACGAUGAGGCAGUCAUCUCUGGAGCUGCAGCUGAUGAUCAAACAAAGCACAAACAAUGAGCUCUAUUCUCUCUUGGAGAACAUAGCCAAGGCCACGAUCGAAGUGUUUCAAAAAUCAGCUGAGAUGAACUCCAGUAACCCCUCCUCCGGGAAUGGAGCAGCCCUCCAAGGAGGCUCUGCAUCCAACAGCAGCAGUGCCACAAGCAAGAUGAAACCUAUUUUAAGUUCAUCUGAGCGGUCGGGCGUAUGGUUGGUGGCACCUUUGAUAGCCAAGCUGCCCACCUCGGUUCAGGGUCACGUCCUGAAGGCAGCCGGAGAGGAGCUGGAGAAGGGACAGCACCUAGGCUCGUCCUCACGCAAGGAGAGGGAUCGGCAGAAGCAGAAAAGCAUGUCUUUGUUGAGCCAGCAGCCGUUCCUGUCUCUAGUGCUGACCUGUCUGAAGGGGCAGGACGAGCAGCGGGAGGGUCUCCUCACGUCCCUGUAUAGCCAAGUUCAGCAGAUUGUCACCAACUGGAGAGAGGACCAGUACCAGGAUGACUGCAAGGCAAAGCAGAUGAUGCACGAGGCUCUGAAACUGCGACUGAAUCUUGUGGGCGGCAUGUUCGACACAGUGCAGCGUAGCACCCAGCAAACCACCGAGUGGGCUGUCCUCCUCCUUGACAUUAUCAGCAGUGGGACAGUGGACAUGCAAUCCAAUAACGAGCUCUUCACGACCGUGUUGGACAUGCUGAGCGUACUGAUUAACGGCACGUUGGCUGCCGACAUGUCGAGCAUCUCUCAGGGCAGCAUGGAGGAGAAUAAAAGGGCUUACAUGAAUCUGGUCAAGAAGCUCAGGAAAGAGCUCGGGGAUCGGCAGUCGGAAAGCUUGGAGAAGGUUCGCCAGCUGCUUCCGCUGCCCAAGCAGACCCGUGACGUUAUCACGUGCGAACCUCAGGGCUCCCUCAUCGACACCAAGGGCAACAAGAUUGCCGGUUUUGAGAAGGAGGGGCUUCAAGUGUCCACCAAGCAGAAGAUCUCUCCAUGGGACGUCUUUGAGGGUCUCAAACACUCAGCUCCUCUCUCCUGGGGCUGGUUCGGCACGGUGCGCAUGGACCGCAAGGUGACCAAGUUUGAGGAGCAGCAGCGCUUCCUCCUCUACCACACGCACCUGAAGCCCAAGCCACGCAGCUACUACCUGGAGCCCCUCCCCCUGCCGCCUGAGGAGGAGGAGCCUCUGACGCCCAUCUCCCAAGAGCCAGAGAAGAAGAUGGAGACGGUAAAGCCAGAGAAGAACAUGUCAGCUGUGCCGUCGGAUUCCAACAAGAAGAAGCCUAGCAAGAAGAAGAAGGCGCCAUCAGCCAAGACGGAGGACUAUGUGAACCGCACGCCAGGUGUGGGCUACGGGACAAACAUGCCGCCUGAGCUGAUGCAGAACCCGUACGGGAGGCUGCCUUACAGCCAGCAGAACAUGGGCAUGUACACACAGAAUCAGCCUCUACCUCCAGGGGGGCCUGGUUUAGAUCCUCCCUACAGGCCUGCCCGCAACCCCCAAUUGAACAAGAUGGUGUCCACGAGGCCCAGUUACCCAGGAAUGAUGCCCGGGAUGCAGGCCAACAUGCCCGGCAUGAUGGGGAUGGACAAACAGUACCAAAUGGUCUACAAGCCUCAGCCUAACUUGCAGCAGAACCAGAUGCUGCGCCAGCAGCUGCAGGUCAGACUGGUGAGUCAGUCUCCACUGACAGGUCAAACUGCUCCUCACCAGAACCACAGCAGCAUAAUAGGGCAGCAGAUCAGACAAAUGACACCCAACCAACCAUAUACUUCAAUGCAGCAGUCUCAAAACUUAUCUCAGGGCUACACGUCAUACGGCUCGCACAUGGGCAUGCAGCCGCAUCCGUCCCAAGGGGGCAGUAUAGUUCAGUCCUCUUACAGCAACCAGAACUUCCAGGGCGCCCACCCAGGAACCAACCCCGCCGUGGUGGAUCCUCUGAGGCAAAUGCAGCAGAGGCCCAGUGGUUACGUUCACCAGCAGGCUCCAGGCUACGCACACAACAUGCAGAACGCACAGAGGUUUGCCCACCAGCCCAUCCAGCAAAAUCCCAUUAUGCACGGUCUUGCUCACAUGGGAGGCCAGGGCGGUCAUCCAGGCUUGAGGCCCAACCAGAUGCUGGCGGAACAACAGCAACAACAACAGCAGCAGCAGCAACAACAACAACAGCAACAAGCAGCACAACAGCAGCAGCAGCAGCAGUACCUCAGACAGCAAGCACUCAGACAGCAGGCUCAACAAGCCCAGCAGCAGCAGCAACAACAACAGCAACAGCAACAAGUCCAGCAGCAGGUCCCUCCUCAGCAGCAGGUUGCUCAGCAACAGCAGCAGCAACAACAACAACAGCAGCAACAACAACAACAACAACAGCAGCAGCAGCAGGUGUCUGGUGUACCUCCACCAGGGCAACAACAGAACCAGGGCCUGGGCAUGCAGCCUCUGCCGCCCCAGCAACCCAUGUUCCCACGUCAGGGCAUGCAGCAAACACAGCAGCAGCAACAGACGGCUGCUCUGGUCAGACAACUGCAACAACAACUCUCAAAUACACAACCAGGACAGGGCACCAAUUCAUACUACAUGUGACCGUUGGCGUGCACAGUUGAGAGUGCGUGUGAAGAGGCUGUUGACCAUGCAGCCGUGAUGGAGAUGGCCGAGGCAUCAAGGAAGUAUCUUCACUUUGAGUUUGUUCUUGUUGGAAUAUGGAGGCCUCAUGUAGACAAGAUAACAGAUAAUAAUGGAAAAAGUCUAUGUAAAAAAAGUACCAUAAAGGAUAACAAUAAUGCAUCCUUUUUUGUAUUUUAUUUCAAUUUGUACAAUUAUUUUCAGUUUUGUGUAUUUUUCAUUAAAUCAUGUCAGUUUUUAUGUCUUGUUAAUGUCUUGUGUUGGCUUGGCUGUACUGUAUUUAAUUUGGAAAAAAAUGUCAAUGAAAAGUUUGAUGAUAAACCUGGAAAAGAUGUCUUGUCUCGGGUGGCACAACUGUCUUUGCCAAGAAUGAAAGUGUUUUUGUUUGGUCACUUUCAGCCUCUCAAUGGACAUUCAUGUUUCAUAUGGUGGUUGUGAUCGUGGGUUAUUUACUGAUCGUCCACUAGGGAGAGCUGUUACUCCAAUAAAAAAUCCUCUAAAACACACACAGGCCGAGAACAAAAAAAACCUGAAUAGGUCAAAUACGAUAAAUUCAGUAUAUUUCAGGUUUAAACGAAUCAAUGAACAUUUUUCAACAUUUAUGUUAUGUUAAAAUUGUAGCUUUUUGUCACCGAAUAUUAUACAAGAUUUGUUUCAAACUACACUUGAUAGAGUAAACGUGUGGGCUUGUCGAAUGACGUCAUAUAAUUAACGAACACGAGGGCGGACAUGGUAAGCUAGCUAUUAGCAGUCGUAAUACGCUUGUUUAGCCUGAUUUCUCUUGAAUUGAACUUGGACAUUAAAAGACGCAAUGAACAGCUACAAAAAGAUUUUUAAACGAGUAUUAAAAUCUACCACAAGUUGAGCUGCGCUACAAACCAACUCAAUUUUCCUCUCAUCACCCCAAGGCCAUGCUUUGUUUGGCUUCUCUUCAUUGGGACGUUCCAGACGACUAAAAAGCACCCCUGUGUCAGGACCCAGUGAUCUCCCUCGGAAAGGGCAGUGUGUCCCCUUAUCGCUCGGCCGGAAGUCUAGGUCUGUCCACUUCCUCUCGUCUGCUCGCACACCGAGUCUGGACAGCAGCUUGUCAGCCAGCACCGGCACGGCGGGCUGGAGGAGGAUGCCGUAAAUUCUGAGACACUCAAAGGAGAUGUGCAUGAUGGUGUCCAGCCGACGUCGUUCUCCUUCAUCCAGCCUGUUUAACUUCCAUGGCGUGUGGCGGUGAACAAAGGCGUUAGUUUGCCUCACGCGGGAAGCGAUGGUCUCCAAGGCUUUGUAGAUAUGCAAGGUGUCGUAGUGAUGCUCCACCACAGAUGGGAGGUUUCGAACAGCAUCCAGCAUGUGGGAGUCUUCUGGGUCCUGCAUUCUGAGGAAAGACUGAGAGCAGAAGGGUGGAUAAAUCUGGCCGGGGUUCAAAGCAAGAGAAGUGCAGCGGUUCAAGAGGCCACCAAGAGAAUCGGCCAACUCCGCGUUGAGCAGCUUGAUGACUUUGUCGUCCGUGUAAUCGCAGUCGGAAUCAGGCACGCCUUGACGCAGCAGGAAGUACCUCAAACCGUCUGUGGUGAACACCUGUGAGCACUCAAAGGGGUCCACGACAUUGCCCAAACUUUUAGACAUCUUUUUCCCACCGACUGUCCAGUGGGAGUGCACAUAUAAGGAACGGGGCAACGGCAGCCCUGCCCCAAGAAGGAACGACGGCCAGUAGAUGGCGUGGAAUUUCAGGAUGUCUUUGCCAACAAUGUGACGUAAGACGCUCCACCAGCGUUGGUGGUUGCCAGGGUAACCGGCCACCGUGAGGUAGUUGACCAGAGCGUCCAACCACACGUAAAUAGUGUGAUCGGGAUCCCCCGGCACGGCGAUCCCCCACUGGAGGCGACUUCUCUGGCGGGACACAGAAAGGUCCGGAAGGUCGUCCUGCAGCCACUGGAGAACAUCCUGGCGGAAACGCUCAGGCUGGAUAGCAUCGGGGUUGUUGUGGAGCCAGUCCAGGAGUUGAGUCCGAAAGGCGGACAAACGGAACAUGUAGUUCUCCUCUUUUAACCAUUCCACCUGACAAAUACAUGAAAACACAUGCAAUACAAUUAGUGGUAUUGUGGGGGAUAGGUUCCCAAAAUAACCCGCAAUAAGUGAAAUCCUCAAAGUAACGAAAUUUAUUAACAACUUUAAGGCUGUAAAAUCUAUCAUGAUAAACUUUGUACAUUUUCCUCAGACAGGCGUUCACAUUUUCUCACAUUUUAAACACAUUACGCUUGCCCAAUCUACUAGAUUGGACCCAAUUAAUUAUAAUAUAUUUAUAAUAUAAAGUGACUCACAUAUAAUGACAGUGCUUUGUCCCGGCGCCGUUGGGCUGUAGCAUUUUUGUAUCCUUGUUACAACAUAUGAAGAUGCAGCCGGUUAGCUGCUUCUUCUUCUAUUGUAUAUUGGCGGUUAGCUAGUUUGCUUGCUAUAGCACAAAGGAGACUGACUGACAAUGAUCUACAGCCAAUCAUUAUGCAGGGCGGGUUCUUUCUUAGCCAAUAAGAACUAUUGUUGCUAUUUUUGGCCUGCUCCUGCUGCUGUGGGUUCCUAAUCUGCUCGUACAGGCACGUAAACACACAGACGAGGUGGAGCUGUAAUAAACCACAAGGACGCAGAACACAAUGGACGUUCACACGCUGCAAAAAAUGUCGAGAGGGAACACUGUGCAGCAACUGCUGUGCACACCUCUGUUGAAUUACCUUGUGCCCACUCUCCAGCGACACCUUGAUGGCCUCUCCCGAUGAGUCCACAGAGUCGGCGACCUGCAACGAUGUGAGGAAGCUCUCGUCCGGCGUGCAGUACCAGCCUUCGUAGCUGCCCUUAUAGAUGAGUCCCUUGUCGCGCAGCAGGCACCAGAAGUGCUCCACAGCCUGCCGGUGCCUCUCCUCCGUGGUCCUGAUGUAGUCAGUGAAGGACACGUUGCAGCUGCUGAAGAGGCGUCUGAAUCUCUGGGAGACGCUGGUGCAGAAGAUGAAGGGGUCCUCUCCAGAUGCAUCGGCAGCCUGUUGGAUUUUUAAGCCGUGUUCAUCUGUUCCUGAAAAGUUAAGGAAGAAGCAGUGCCAUUAGGUCUUGAAUUAAGAAAUAAACACUAAAAUAUUGUUGAUGUAUAAAACCCUCUUUCCCUUAACCAAUGCCUUAGCUCUACAGACAUUGAUAAUCUAUAUCUAUAGAUUUUUUUCUAUAUAUUCAACAUAUCACUAGAUUUAUACAGAUUUUUUGCAGGAACAGUAAUCCAGGGCAUGUGAGGCUGAGUUACCUGUUGCAAAUUUUGAGUGGAAUCCCUGAAGAAGCUUGUAUCGGUGCAUGCAGUCAGCUAAAACCGCCGAGUACAAAUGCCCCAAAUGAGGAGAAGCGUUGACAUAAAAGAUGGGGGUGGUAAUGUAGUACCUUCCUUCUUCUUUGGGCACGUUGUUGCUAGCAUGUCUGAUCCUCUGAUUGCUCCACUGAGCAGAAACCGGUGCAAAAAACACGCCUCGUUUCAGUCUGCCCACAGACUGCAGAAUGAGUGCCCUCAUGUUUGGAUGAUAAUGUUGUGCUAAACGCUACUUAGUCAUUUGGCUAUCUUAAAGAUACGAACAGCGAAUACAACACGAAAUGACAAACUACGAAUAACAAAAAGAA